rnacentral:rRNA from 1 species
GUGAGGAAUAUUGGUCAAUGGGCGAGAGCCUGAACCAGCCAAGUCGCGUGAAGGAAGAAGGUUCUAUGGAUUGUAAACUUCUUUUGUAAGGGAAUAAAAAAGAGUACGUGUACUCUAUUGUAUGUACUUUACGAAUAAGGAUCGGCUAACUCCGUGCCAGCAGCCGCGGUAAUACGGAGGAUCCGAGCGUUAUCCGGAUUUAUUGGGUUUAAAGGGUGCGUAGGCGGACUUAUAAGUCAGCGGUGAAAGUUUGCAGCUUAACUGUAAAAUUGCCGUUGAAACUGUUAGUCUUGAGUGUAAAUGAGGUAGGCGGAAUGUGUUGUGUAGCGGUGAAAUGCUUAGAUAUAACACAGAACACCAAUUGCGAAGGCAGCUUACUGGGAUACAACUGACGCUGAGGCACGAAAGCGUGGGGAUCAAACAGGAUUAGAAACCCUAGUAGUCC